CCCUCGGAACACCUGCACGUGCCCCGCUCGGUAGGCGGUGCCUUCAGCAGCUGCCCCUGAGCCUCGCUCCCUUCGCCUCGCCCCAGGCUUCAGCCCAGUAGCAGGCCCAACACCUAACUUUUGGUCCCCGUGCGUCCUCGCGCUCGGCCACCUUGCUAGACCCCAGAAACGCUUUCUCUUUUGCGAAGUUGAGCUCCGUGGACGACGGGGGCCAGAGGAGCCCAGCUCGGUAGCACAUUCCCCUAACUUACUAGCCGAACAGACAGAGAUAGAGAGACAGAGCACCCAAACCUAUGAAGUUUCUGAAGUUCCAGAUUUUAUUGACUGUGAUGACUCUUCUGUGUAUUUUCACAAUAAUAAAGGGCUUAAGAAAGAAGUAAGGGACGACUCUGGUCGUCCCCAGCCUUCGUGUGACAGCCGACUACAGAAGAAAGUUCUGUAGAACUAGGCAGCGGCUGAAUACCAAGUCUGCACAGCACAGGCGGCGGAGGUCACAAGAUGCACUGUGGACUGAGCUGCUUUCUUACGCGGACACCUCACACAUGGCGCCGUAGAACAAAUGCCAGCUAUUGCUGUCCACACUUCCUAAGUGUGCAGUGGCUACCAAGACGUGCACUGCCUUGUUGCUGCUCCACAAGAUCCAAACUCUGCGAUCGGCCUCACAUCCGAGACUCUGAAGGACGAGAGCAAGCACAACAGCUCAGACACCAAAAAGUUCCUCAGCGAUUAGAACCUUGUUCAAGAUCCCUUGGCAAAACGAGAACAACAAAUUUUCCUAGAUUAUAACCAG
rnacentral:lncRNA from 1 species